AAGGUCAUAACAAGGUUUCUGUAGGUGAACCUGCAGAAGGAUCAUUAUUUGAAUUGUUAAAAGUGGGAAAAGUUUCGACUUCCUUUACAUUCUUUAUUCCUAACACCUGUGAAUCGUUGCUGAGUUCGCUCAGUAGCAACAUUUUGAUACACACAUAAUAGUUUAGAACGUAAAACUAUAUAAUAAAUUACAA
rnacentral:misc_RNA from 1 species